rnacentral:tRNA from 1 species
GAGGGUAUAGCUCAGUGGUGGUGGUGCACAUGCUAACCAUGCACAAGGUCCUGGGUUCAAUUCCCAGUACCUCCA